UAACUUUUGCAGCUACCAGGAUCAAAUGUGUUUAUAUAGUGGAGCUCAUCACCUCUUCUACUAGUGUGCUUAAAUAGUGAUAGAAGUCUAAAUAACUUAUGUACUUCAACAUUUUUUGUUUACUUGAUCGGGUCGUAGUGCAUUUGGAUGGAACCAUUUAUUAAUCAUAAGCACGUAACAUUUACUACAUGUAUUAUUUACCAUCUUUGGAAUGUGGACGAUAGUCUUGUUGAAGUUCAUUAUUUCUCAUUGGGGGGGACAGACCCAGGUUUUAAAGAUUGGAGGAACCAGAGAUAGGUGAACAUAUAAGUAUGAGAAUAGUUGUGAAUAUACAUAUAUGGAGGAUGGGAGAAGGGGGGACCAAUAUAAAUUCUCUAAAACUAGACUCAAAUUUUAGCAUAAAAAUUGGGAAGGCCCUUAUUUAUAUGAUUGCGUGUGUACAUGUAUAAAUCCCUUUUUCUGUGGUAUCUAUUUUGGGCCCAAUCAGGAUUCUAAUUAGUUGCGCCCUACCAUACCAAUUUGAUAGGCUCCCGCCCGCCACCCUUGAAAGAGUGCAUAAUAGCUCACUGAUUGAGCACUCUUGCACCUUAGAUGAACAAGGCUAAGCGAUCUGCCAAAGCUGUGGGAUGUAAAAAGGUAUCGG